AAUAUAUGAAUAUGUGAUGUUGAAUAUAAGAUUAAAAGAAAGAAAGCCCAUCCCUUAUUUUCUUAGAGCGUAACUAUAGGCUAUUAAAAUACAUUGAAGUGGGUUAAAAGGCAGAACUUAACUUCAACUUCCUUCUGACCACCUGUAUGGUAUAUUCUCAACACUGGGGCCAUUGGUUUUGUGGCUUUGUUUCCUGCUCACUGGACUGCCUGGAGGAUAGGCUUAGGGUGUGACUUUGCUCAUUUCCUUUUUGUCACCUCACAAAGCCCUGCUUUGUUUGCUUUAUCUAAGACCUCUGUGCUACCUAGCUAAGCUUGGCUUCCUGUCCAGUGCUGUUCACUCUGUCUCCAUGGAUCCAGCUCAAUUGGAAGAAAAACCAGCUGAAGGCCUGAGUGUCUACUGAGUUUUCAAUGACUUCCUCAAACUUCUCACUUACCCUUAAGUGCUGGCAUCAGCCAGGUCAUAGGAGAAGGGACUCUCUAUAAGAGAGGUUUCUUUGGAAAGAAUUGGACCUGAUGGAGGGUCAUUCUAUCAGAAGGAAUUUUUUAGGUUUCUUCCUUACAAUUAACAUCCCUGAAAGGUGCAGAUACAUGUUAUCUACAGGGUAACACUUGUAGAUAUGAUGUAAUAGGCUUAUACCACUGGAGAUUGAACAGUCAACCUUCUGAAAACAGUGCACACCACCGGAAGGGCAAGAAACAAACUACUUAAUAUCAUUUUGACCCUGAAGUCAGGAAGUCCUCUUUGACAAGACACACACACACACAAAAUCACAAAGGAAAAGAAUGACAACUUGACUCCAUUGAAAUUUAAAACAGGUGUACAUCAGAAGAUAUUAUCUAUACAAUUAAAAGAUAAGCAAUGAUACAGAAGAAAAUAAUUGCCUCACACAGAGCAAACCUGGAUUGUUUUCUAGAAAGUAAAAAGAAAUCUUAAAAUAAUAAAUAUGAAAAAGACAAACAAACAAAUAAAAAAGUAGACAAAGAUUCAAACAGGCAAAUUCACAAAAGAGGGAAUUCAGAUGGUCAAUAAACACAUUAAAAUAUGUUUAAAGUGCAGUAACCAGAGAAAUGCAAGUGUAAAACAAGGUGCCAUAUUCUACUCAUUUGAUUUUCAAACAUUAAAAAUGUUGAAAACAUCAAUUGCUGUGACAUCAAAUAUCCUUAUAGAUGGCUAGUGAUGGAAGUACGUACACAUUAUGAAGUUUUGUUUUUAGCAAUGUUUGGUAAGAUUUGAAACUUUUGUUCUAUUUAAAAUUUGUCUUGGUGCAUGGGGUGGAGUAUGGAUUUGAUGUAAACAUUUUUGGAUGUUCACCUAGCUGCUUUAAUACCAUUUAUUAAACAGUACCUCUUUUUCAUGCUGCCUUGAAAUGACAUCUUUGCCAUAUACUAAAUUCACAUGUGUAUUUGGGUCAGCUUCUGAAUUUACUAAUCUGUUCCUCCAUCUGUCUACUCAUAUCACUACCUCCUGUUUUAGUUAUUACAGCUUCACAGUUUGAUUUAAUGCAUGUAUUAUAAGAAUUACUUUUUUCUGUUUGAUUUUUUCUCCUUUUUCUCUGCUGUGUUUCUUUUUGUUUUUGAUUUUUUUUCUUUAUAUUGCCCUGUACUGAUUUUGUUCAGACAUGCCUCAUUUUAUUGUGCUUUGCUUUCCUGUGCUUUGCAGAUACUGCAUUUUUUCCCCAGAUUAAAGGUCUGUGGCAACCCUGCAUCGAGCAAGUCUAUAGGCAUAAUUUUUCCAUUAGUAUGUACUCAC